rnacentral:rRNA from 1 species
GACGAACGCUGGCGGCGUGCCUAACACAUGCAAGUCGAGCGGGGUCCAUCCGGUAGCAAUACCGGGGAAGACCUAGCGGCGAACGGGUGAGUAACACGUGAGAAACCUGCCCCGAAGUCUGGGAUAACCCGAGGAAACUCGAGCUAAUACCGGAUGUCUUCUUCUGAUCGCAUGGUCGGAUGAAGAAAAGAUUUAUCGCUUCGGGAGGGUCUCGCGGCCUAUCAGCUAGUUGGCGGGGUAACGGCCCACCAAGGCGUCGACGGGUAGCUGGUCUGAGAGGACGAUCAGCCACACUGGGACUGAGACACGGCCCAGACUCCUACGGGAGGCAGCAGUGGGGAAUAUUGCGCAAUGGGCGAAAGCCUGACGCAGCAACGCCGCGUGCGGGAUGAAGGCC